GUCAGCCCGGGGCCGCGCUGCCAGCGCCACCGCCCCCCGCCGGCCCCGGGUGAAGUUGGCGGCGGACGGCGGGACCCUUGCCGGCAGCGGAGCCCGCCCGGACCCGCGGCGCCCACAACUUUCCUCGCCGCCCUCCGCCGGAGCGACCCCCGGGAACGGGCGGCGCCGCCGCCGACCAGGCUUGCCAGAAGAUUCUCUGGGAUGGAGUUUUACAUUUAUCAAAAUACUACUAAUUUCAUGAGAUAGGGACUCCAUCCUGGAACAGGGGAAGAGAGUGAGGAACCCUGAGGAAGAUGCAGCAGAGAAAACAUGAUGAAGUCUUCCACAGCCCCCAUUCCCCAUCCCUCAGUACUGCUCAUGAGGAAGGAGGUAGAGAAAAUCAGGAGUAAAAUUAAGUCCGGGAAGAGGGGAGGUAUGAGGGGAAGGUAUAUUAAGAUUGCAGGUUCUUUUCUCAUAAUCCUGCUCUGAUGUGUUUUGUAGUAAAUUAAACUGAUUUCCCCAAAUCAAGUCUGCUUUGUCUCUUGCAGUAAUUGUUGAGUGAUUCCUCCCUGUCCU